CAAUAGCGUAUAUUAAUGUUGUUGCAGUUAAAAAGCUCGUAGUUGGAUUUCUGCGCCGCGCAGCUCGGUCCGCCGCAAUGCGGUGCGACUGUGGCUGGAGCGUCGCAUCCUUGUGGAGACCUUUGAUGCCAUUGAUUUGGUGUCUUAUGGGAACCGCAUCGUUUACUGUGAAAAAAUUAGAGUGUUCAAAGCAGGCAUGCGCCGUGAAUACAUUAGCAUGGAAUAAUAAGAUAGGACUUUGGUUCUAUUUUGUUGGUCGGAGGCCAAGGUAAUGAUUAAUAGGGAUAGUUGGGGGUAUUCAUAUUUAAUUGUCAGAGGUGAAAUUCUUGGAUUUAUGAAAGAUGAACUUAUGCGAAAGCAUUUACCAAGGAUGUUUUCAUUAA
rnacentral:rRNA from 1 species